GGAUGUGAGGGUGAUCUGGCUGUGCAUCUGUCACCCCAUUGUUCCCCAAGGCUGAUUUGGCUGAUCUGGCUGGCUAGGAGGGUAUCCCCUUCCUCCCUCACUGCUCCAUGUGUGCCCCUCCCAAAGCUGCCCGCUUGAAAGAAGACAACUCAUCACUGAUAGAGGAGAACCGUUCUUUGGUCAAGGGUAUAUGAGUAGCUAGAACCUCCAAACAAGCUCUCAAAGUUAGAGCAAAAACUGCUUAUUAACUUUAAACGGAGAAUGGAUAAUAGGUAAGUCAGUAUCU
rnacentral:snRNA from 1 species